CGAAAGGUAUGCUAAUACGGGAUAAUAUAUUUGAGAGGCAUCUCUUAAAUAUCAAAGGUGAGCCAGUACAGGAUGGACCCGCGUCUGAUUAGUUAGUUGGUAAGGUAACGGCUUACCAAGGCGACGAUCAGUAGCCGACCUGAGAGGGUGAUCGGCCACAUUGGAACUGAGACACGGUCCAAACUCCUACGGGAGGCAGCAGUGGGGAAUAUUGCACAAUGGGCGAAAGCCUGAUGCAGCAACGCCGCGUGAGUGAUGAAGGCCUUCGGGUCGUAAAACUCUGUCCUCAAGGAAGAUAAUGACGGUACUUGAGGAGGAAGCCCCGGCUAA
rnacentral:rRNA from 1 species